UGGAGCUGGCUAGUACUUUAGAUCACAGCUCUAAUCGGUUGGACUGACUUAGACAGUAAAUCACUUUAGCAGCGCUAAUAACACCAAGUGACAGGUAUAGUAAACCCUCUAUUGCAGAAAUAACCUGGUCCUGCUGCUUCUUUGACUGGGGUUGGUGCUUCUGCUCUGGUUUGUUUAUUAAAGCUCCUUCACCAAAAGUCGCCUGGGUGGCUGCUCCGACUCAGCCAUUGAAAUGGCUGUUCUGCCAUUCCCAGCCUGGCUUGGGCUCUUUUUAUAGCCUGCUAUAAAAUUGUUUAUUUUUGCACCUGUUUACGAAGGCUUUUCGGCCACAGGGGUCUCAUGAUGUUGUUUUCAUGGCUUCUGGAGCAGGGCCGCUCUGUUGUUGCUAGAAAUAAUUGCUGUUAAUUAAUUCUUUGCUGGUUUUUCUCUGGCAAAGCGUAUGGAAAUAAGCAAGUGAGCAGUAUGCUCUGUAUCUUGAUGUUGUGGGAGCUUUUAGGAGGCAUGCAGUGACAUCCAAACAAUCCCACCAGCAGCUAGAAGAAGGGUAGGACGUGGUCCUCAACUUUCUGUGGACAACAUUGAUUGGGGGGAGGCUCAAUUACUAUCUCCAGUUGUUCAGCAUCUUCCCUCAGGCCAUUCUCUUUCUAGAGAGAAACCACAACUUUGUUUCCACCGAACGCUUUAUUCAAAUUGCAGCUGAGCAAUGUUACAGAAAGCGAUUUGGUCUCAGCCGUCUGAGCCGGACCGACAGCUGAAAGCAGCAGUCCGUGAUACAAGACUGCCUGCUGGGACCUACAAUUGCACUAUUUUUUGCUUUUCCUCUGUGCCCUUUUAAAAGGGUUUGUCUUCUUUCUGAGGGACUUGGGCUGUGCUGCAGAGACUUCCAGACCAGAAGUGUUGUGCUGGGCUCCAGCCCCGCUGUCCUGUGGUCCUGCCUACAGUGUCUCUGCCAUCCUCUUUGCACUGGGUCCCUGGCAGGAGCAGCCAGCAGUUCCCAGGACCCCAAAGCAGGCAGCAGUUGGCUGGGCUGCUUCCUUCUCCACCCUGCAACAGGACAUCAUGCCAUCCAGACUCCUGCUUGAAUGUCUCCAAGCUGUUCCUGGAAGGAUGAGCCAUUUGAGCCAGGAAAAGAUUAAAUUAUUGGAAUUGAGCAAAAGCAAUUUCCGUGAUAAGUGUUUGCCCUGUGGUUUGCACAUCGAACCUGUCCUGCUGCUGUCUGUGACUCAGGCUGAAUUGAUGAUGGCCCUCUCUGAAUAAUCACUGUGACUUUUCUUGGAGGAGUUGAUAGCCCAACAUAUGAAUAUCUUCACACAUAUGUUGGCUUUCUCCAUACAGAACUUCCCCAGGCCUAAGUCUUUUAAUUAGUAUAAAUCAGGAAUAAUCCUAAAAGCAGUGGUCUCCCACUGGUGUAGGUGAAUUAUUGACUCCAUUGGUCUGAUUUCAUCUUCUGUGAGAGCUGAAGAGAGCCUGCCAUUAGGCUGUAGAAAUCAGCAUAGCUCCAGUUGGGUGCCUGGUGACUGCCAUGGAGCCAAUUGCCCCAGCUGCCCCCUCCGCGUCGUAUUUUACACUGUAUGAAAUGGGUUUGGUACAACAGCAACGGGACUGUAGCAGUGAGGGUUUUUUCUUGCAUUGAGGUUUCCCCCUGUGCUGUGGAGUAGACGUACAAAUAUCCAACAUCCUCAAGCUAUCAAUUACCCCCUCACUCCCUGGGAUGUCUCUUGGCUCCCAGCCACCCUGCUAGAGUGACUAAGCAGCCCCUGCGGCCAUGUACCGAUUUCCAAACCAGUCCAUUGCUGUGGUGAGCCUGGCCAGAGCGCAGGCAGAAGAGAAACUGAAAGGAUGUCCUGAGGACAUGACAGGCUGCCACAGAAAAGUGGUUGGAGCUACUUUCCAUUUUAUUGUGGCACGGCUGUGAGAGAGCAGUUCUCAGCUCUAGGGUGUUGCAGAAGCCUAAAAAAAUGGUGUGUAGGUCAAUCAGCAGAGAGAUUUUGCUCUGCAUCCCCCUUCUUGUCGUCAUUCUCCCCAUUUCUUCUGCCUCACCGAGGAUCUCUGUGGCCUGGUGUGCAUGAUAUUACCUGCCCAGCUAUUGCAUCAUGGGAGUGAAAGACUCCCCCUUUUUCACAGUGGUAACACUGAGCUUUGCAACAAAGUUAACAAAUAUGCAAAUGUAAGGAAACCCUGAUCUGCAAAUUACUUGGCAGUGAGGCACUUUUAGAGUUGCAUGAUGCCUUUCCUUCUUUGAGGGCCAGUGCAGGUGCAGAGCAGCUCUGCAGACAUAGGAUUUCACGUCUGUUAUUUCUGUACCCUUGCAUCAUUUUCUCUUGCAUCAUCAUCCUCUUCAAGUUGACCAACACAUCCUAACCACACAGAUGCAGUGCGUGUGCUUUUCCCUCUUCUACAGGAGAAAAAUCUCACACGGUUCAUAAAGCAAUUUGAUCAAAAUCAGAGAAAGUUGGCAUCAGUAUCAGGUUUUCAGUUCAAGAGUUUUUAAUUGCCCUGGUCUGAGCUUGCUGCUCUGUGGCAUUCCUCCCUUCCAGCUGUAGCCGCUCUCGCUUUAACUGGAUAACCCAGAAAAUUAGAUACACAUUUUUCUUAAAGGAAAAAUCUCUAGGAUUUUGGAUUCUUUCUUUUUUUUUUUUUCUUCUUUUGAACAGGAAACCAUACUGCAACGGAAACGAGCUGCUUUAGCAUGGGUGCGGGUGGCCAGUGCUAUGGCUUGUUCACAUAAACCUCCAGCUGCAAGAGCUGCCUCCCCUGCGGUGCUGAGGAAGCCUAAGGGAUCCAGCCUGGUGUGUCUAUUACUCUAGAGAGUUUUGCUUGAAUGCAGUUGCAGUAGCAUGAAUUAUUGAUAUUUCUGUUAAGGUUUGCUGUUCACACAGGAAUUUGUAACACUUCCCCCCGUUAUGCUGUGAAUGCACUCCUGGGUCACAUAAAGGGUUGAGUUUAACACCAUUUUACUUGCAUGGUUGUGACAUUGAUUUAGCCAUUUCAGGGCUGGGGCUGCAAAAUUAACUAAAAAACAAUGUAAGCAGCUCUUUCCUGCUGCAGUCUCAGGGUGAAAGAAGCUAAUAUGGAAGGGCAAGUAGAAGGUAUAGUUAUGUCUGUGCAUUUUCGGAGCAUCACCACAAAGCUGAGGAAAGGUUCCCAGGAAUUUCUGAGCAUCCUUUGCCCUGACCUCAGAGUCCAGCGUUUCCAGAGGCUGCCCUUGCUGCCACUGUGCUUAGCACCUUAGGAGAUCACAUUAAUAAUGUCCGUUUCUAAGGCAACAACCUUGUGAUUCAGAAAAGACAGAGUUAACAGCGUGUGUGUUUACAAACACAUUAUACACAUAAAUAUGUAUUUCUAUACAUAUGUAUAGAAAUUUAUAUCAGACUUAACAGGUCACUUAGCAGUAGAGAGACAGAAAGCAUCUGAAUGAGGGUGAUGUAUUGACAGCGAUAACUGGUCUCCAGUUUGGCCAGAGAAUUUGUGAGAGGUAAGAGCAAAUUCACGAAGCAUCCUCUUGGCAGGUCAUACCCCCAGGCAAAAUGUGGGGACAAGCUCAGACAAGGUGUCCACUUCUGUGGGCAUGGGCAGGAGGGGACAGUCCGACAUGGACAAGCCUGAGCAGCAGUGCCCGUCAGCCUCCCGGGAGCCCAGCCAGCCUUGCUGGGGCAGCCUUCGCCCUUUACCCUGUGUGGGAUGGUAGACUCUGACCCUGUCCCUGCUCAGCACCAGGAAUCACAAUCUUUAGAAGCCAAUGUCCACCAGGAGAGCCUCACUGCCUGCCCUGGAUCAGCACUGUGCUGACUGACACUGGAGCAACACCCAGCCUCUUAACCUUGGAUAAACCAGCAGUAAAUCCACAGACAUACGCGUAUAUAGUCUGGAGUAAUUGUGAUGGGACUUAAAUGCUGAGUACCGCUAUUGAUCGACCCUCGCUGGCCCUGUUCUCCUGCUCCGCCCGUCCUUUAUGAAAUGCUCCCCUCUCAUCAUUGACAACAAGCUCUGUUAUAUUUGAUUUUAUUACAAGAUAUAAAUUUC